rnacentral:antisense_RNA from 1 species
GGUAGCCAAAGAUGACCGAGGGGUCGAGGGUGGGGUUGUUGAUGACGCGAACGUCACCGCCACCGGGUGCCCAGGUAUCAUAGACACCACCAAAGAACAUGGCUUUGGCAACCAACAGCAAGGCUCCACAUCCCAAGAGGAUGAGGUGGAAACCAAUGAUGUUAGUCAUUUGGUUUUUGUCCUUCCA